UGUUGUCCUUGGCUCUGAAACUGUUUAAUAUACAACCGUCAUAAGGUUAUACAAUGUACUGUUUUGCAACCAUAAGUUUGUUAUAGUGUGGACAGUGUAGGAAUUUAUGUUAACAAGUUUCACAGAGUUCACUGACUGAGGUAUCUGUUGUAACUUGUGAGUACUUGUGACAGUGGUUGAGUGAGUGUCCAUGUGCUCGCGCAGGUGCCCGAGAGCUGUGACUGCGCCAAGGGUAACAUGUGUGUUGUCUCUUCGUGUGCAGGGCAAAUAAAAAUAUUUCAACGAGCAGACCGUCAGUUGUGGCAGCGUCCUAAUUAAAAUUACACAACGCAGAACGAACCACGCUACAUAUGCAUAGUCACUUUACUCCUACCUAAAAGUACAAAUUACCUCGACUAACCAGUACCCCCGCACAUUGACUCCGUACCGGUACCCCCUCUAUAUAGCCUUGUUACGGUUGCGUAAUUUUAUUGUGUUGCUUUUAAUAACAUUUUUUACUUUAUUUAGUAAAUAUUUUCUUAACUCUAUUUCUUGAACUGCAUUGUUGGUUAAGGACUUGUAAGUAAGAAUUUCAUUUUAUGGUCUACACCUAUUGUAUUCGGCACAUGUGACAAAUAUCAUUUGAUUUGAUUUACAUUUAAGACUUAUCCAAAGCAAUUUAGUGCUUUGUUCAAUGGCACAUCGACAGAUUUUUCACCUACUCUGACUCUGACAACAUUUUGGUUACUGGCAAACCACUUGGCUAACAGCUGCCGUUAGUGCUAAGCGAUUAACCAACAUUUUGUUUUUUUCCCGGUUAUUAAACAACUAAUUGACUGACAUUGGUUCAAUUACUUGAAUUCAAUUUAGUUCAGUUUUUUUGUGAGCCCAGCACACCGUUUUCUCUAGAGAGAAAUCAAGUCAGGAACUACAGUUGAAGUCGGAAGUUUACAUUCACUUAGGUUGGAGUCAUUAAAACUCGUAUUUUCAAACACUCCACAUAUUUCUUGUCAACAAACUAUAGUUUUGGCAAGUCGGUUGGGAGAUCUACUUUGUGCAUGACACGAGUCAUUUUUCCAACAAUUGUUUUUAGACAGAUUAUUUCACUUAUAAUUCACUGUAUCACAAAUCCAGUGGGUCAGAAGUUUACAUACCCUAAGUUGACUGUGCCUUUAAACAGCUUGGAAAAUUCCAGAAAAUUAUGUCAUGGCUUUAGAAGCUAGGCUAAUUGACAUCAUUUGAAGGUACCACGAAGGUACCACGACAUCACCUGAAGAUACCACGUUCAUCUGUACAAACAAUAGUACGCAAGUAUAAACACCAUGGGACCACGCAGCCAUCAUACCGCUCAGGAAGGAGACACGUUCUGUCUCCUAGAGAUGAACGUACUUUGGUGUGAAAAGUGCAAAUCAAUCCCAGAACAACAGCAAAGGCCCAUGUGAAGAUGCUGGAGGAAACAGGUACAAAAGUAUCUAUAUCCACAGUAAAACGAGUCCUAUAUCGACAUAACCUGAAAGGCCGCUCAGCAAGGAAGAAGCCACUGCUCCAAAACUGCCAUAAAAAAAGCCAGACUACGGUUUGCAACUGCACAUGGGGACAGAGAUCGUACUUUUUAGAGAAAUGUCCUCUGGUCUUAUGAAACAAAAAUAGAACUGUUUGGCCAUAAUGACCAUUGUUAUGUUUGGAGGAAAAAGGGGGAGGCUUGCAAGCUGAAGAACACCAUCCCAACCGUGAAGCACGGGGGUGGCAGCAUCAUGUUGUGGGGGUGCUUUGCUGCAGGAGGGACUGGUGCACUUCACAAAAUAGAUGGCAUCACGAGGAAGGGAAAUUAUGUGGAUAUAUUGACGCAACAUCUCAAGACAUCAGUCAGGAAGUUAAAGCUUGGUCGCAAAUGGGUCUUCCAAAUGGACAACGACCCAAGCAUAAUUCCGAAUCUUACAAACCUGACUCAGUUACACCAGCUCUGUCAGGAGCAAAAAAAAUCACCCAACUUAUUUUGGGAAGCUACCCGAAACAUUUGACCCAAGUUAAACAAUUUAAAGGCAAUGCUACCAAAUACUAAUUGAAUGUGUGUAAACUUCUGACCCACUGGGAAUGUGAUGAAAUAAAUUUAAAUCUGAAAUAAAUCCUUCUCUCUACUAUUAUUCUGACAUUUCAUAUUCUUAAAAUAAAGUGGUGAUCCUAAUUGACCUAAAACAGAGAAUUUUUACUAGGAUUAAAUGUCAGGAAUUGUGAAAAACGGAGUUUAAAUGUAUUUGGCUAAGGUGUAUAUAAACUUCCGACUUCAACUGUAUGUGGGACACUGGGCUGAAGGGACUUUUCAUUAAGCAAAUAUUGAACCCAGAUCAGCGCAGAAACUUGGUAAUUAUUUACAAUGACCAUAAUCCAUUGCUCCUGUUUGUUUUUUCAGGCUCAGACACAGAUCUCAGCACAGGAAUGACUGCCGUUGUGGCCAUGAGGCGGGGGUAAGAUAGCGGACAGGGGGGAAAAAAGGAGAAAAGUGGAACACGUUAUAAAUAAAUAUGGAAUGGGGGAAUGCACAAGCCUUCUGGAAGAUCUGAUGAAGGAGAAUAUGGCAAGAAGGGAAAAAAUGUGGAAAGUGUGUUGUGCACAAGAUAGGAUAAAAACGGUGACUAGUUGUCCUCUCCGUAGCAGGGCGCCAUUAAAAGGAAUGAUAACUGGAGUGGUGUUAAGUGUUGAGGAGGGCCAACUGAAAUGGAAGUUUCCCGGUGUCUGUGACAUCCACCGUUUGGUGGAACGCAGACCCGGUAGAGAACGUGGUGAAACAGAGAAGACAAUGUCUAUACUACUGAGUUUUGAUGCAGAGUCUUUAUCAGAUAAAUUCAAGUUAUGAUGAGUCAGUUAUCACGUGAGAGGUUUUGUCCCAAACCCAUUACGAUGUUUUAGGUGUCAAACUUAUGGUCAUGUGGCAGCAGUGUGUAGGAGAGAGAUUUCUAGAUAUGAGAAGUGUGCAGGAGGACGAGACAAAAGAAUGUGUAGUAUCGGUGGAAAAAGUUGUGUGUGUAAACUGUAAGGGUUUACACACACAGCUGUUUCAUGGUGCUAGAAAUCAGAGGUGUCCGGUGAGAGCAAGGCAGGGUGAGGUUGCCAGUAUCAGUUUAAGGUGUAAUAUUCUGAGGCAUUAAAGAGAGUAGUAGAGGAAGAUGGGUCCAGGGUGAGGGAUUUUAAGAGGAUCCCUGUGAGUAGGCCGAGGCCAAUAGAGAGUGAUAGAAAUAGCUUGUGUUUUUUUGGCAUUCAUGGCCUUGAAUGUCAAUUGUACUGUAGGAAUGGAAGUAAAUCACAGAGGAUAGAUGUUGUGGUGGCAACUGCAUAGACUUUGUUUAUUUAACUAGGUAAGUCAGUUAAGAACAAAUUCUUAUUUACAAUAACAGCCUACCAGGGAACAGUGGGUUAACUGCCUUGUUCAGGGGCAGAAUGACAGAUUUUUACCUUGUCUGCUCAGGGAUACAAUCUAGCAACUUUUCAGUUACUGGCCCAAUGCUCUAACCACUAGGCAACCUGCCACCCCGAAAGUACUUGGGUGUAUGAGAUUUUACUGCAGAAGUUCCCGUCCUCCCAGUGUCCCAUCCUCCCAAGCUGCUGGCCUGGAGUAGAAUCAGACGGGGGGCCAAAGUAGUGGAAUAAUGCUAUUGAACCAAGCAAGCAAUGACAAUAAAAAUUGUAUAUUCUGAAUCAGUAAGCAGAUGCUCCUCCUCUCUCUACGGCUGGCUUCAAUUCCUCUGUUUUCACCUCAGUGUUUAAAAUCCUUCCCUGACCUGGUCUUCUUUGUCUCAGGAUUUCUGGUUACAGUGUUUUCUUAUUUGACUUAUCUGACUGUUUUACCAUUAGCCUUCCUCUGUCAUGUAAUCUACGAUGUGAAACAAAAUACAUUUGCAUUAUACACUGAGUGUAUAAAACAUGAAGAACAACUUCCUAAUAUUGAGUUGCAUAAUUGAUCAUAGCUUUCACCUGGAUUCACCUGAUCAGUCUAUGUCAUGGAAAGAGCAGGUGUUCUUAAUGUUUUGUACACUCAAUGUAUAUUUGCACUUACUUAUAUAUAUUUUGUACAUAGUAUACGCAGACAUUGACAUGUGCAUGUCAAUUUUUGAGAAUGCAUAUUAUGGUAUGAGUAAUGGAAAAGGUAGCAGGGCAAUUCCACAAUAACAUAAUUAGGCUGAGACUGAUUUUCCACUUUAAAAUGUCAAAGUUGAAGAAAACAUACAACUCUACGCACAAGGACUACUAAAAUCUAUACAGAAAUGACCACAAAACACAUUUACUGGAAGAACUGUGGAGAUGCAAAGUUUGGGGAUGAAAUGAUGGUAAAAUCUCCCUCAGUUAUUUAUGCAACCACAUUUUUCAGAAACUGUUAAAUAACUGCUCCAAAUUAAGAUUCAAAGAGGUGUGCAGAAAGAAUGGGGUGUCAUCUAUGACAUGAUACCUUGAGUUUAAAAAAUCUAUUUUGGUUAUUGAACUACAGUAAGUGUAGUGGAUUUACACCUGGUAACAGAAUUACGGUAAUGUAAUUACAUCAAUGGUCCCUGUACUACAAAGAAAUGCAUGAUUAUGGAUAUGAAUGUCAUUCUUUUCACAGUGAUGUAUCUUGAAUAGGUACACAAAGGUAGAAAUAUGCAACAUCAUCCUUUGUAUACAGUGCAUUUGAAUUGUAUUCAGAGCCCUUGACUUCUUCCACAUUUUGUUACGUUACAGCCUUAUUCUAAAAUGUAUUAAAUUCAUUUUUCCCUCAUCAAUCUACACACAAUACCCCAUAAUGACAAAGCGAAAACAGGUUUUUAGAAAUGUUUGCAAAUAUAUUACAAAUUAAAAUCAAAAAUACCUUAUUUACAUAAGUAUUCAGACCCUUUGCUAUGAGACUCGAAAUUGAGCUCGGGUGCAUCCUGUUUCUAUUGAUCAUCCUUGAUUGGACUUGAUUGGAUUCCACCUGUGGUAAAUUCAAUUGAUUGGACAUGAUUUGGAAAGGCACACACCUGUCUAUAUAAGGUCCCACAGUUGACAGAGCAUGUCAGAGCAAAAAUCAAGCUAUGAGGUCGAAGGAAUUGUCCGUAGAGCUCUGAGACAGGAUUGUGUCGAGGCACAGAUCUGGGGAAGGGUACCAAAAAAAAGUCUGCGGCAUUGAAGGUCCACAAGAAUACAGUGGCCUCCAUCAUUCUUAAAUGGAAGAAGUUUGGAACCACCAAGACUCUUGGUAAAUGGGGACCCCAAGAACCCAAUGGUCACUCUGACAGAACCCCAGAGUUCCUCUGGAGAUGGGAGAACCUUCUAGAAGGACAACCCUCUCUGCAGCACUCCAUCGAUCAGGCCUUUAUGGUAGAGUGGCCAGACGGAAGCCACUCCUCAGUAAAAAGCACAUGGCAGCCCGCUUCGAGUUUGCCAAAAACACCUAAAGGACUCCCAGACCAUGAGAAACAACAUUCUCUGGUCUGAUGAAACCAAGAUCGAACUCUUUGGCCUGAAUGCCAAGCGUGAAGGUAACCUGUGACCAUCCCUACGGUGAAGCGUGGUGGUGGCAGCAUCAUGCUGUGGGAUGUUUUCAGCGGCAGAGACGAGAAGACUAGUCAGGAUCAAAGGAAACAGAGGACAGAGAGAACCUUGAUGAAAACCUGCUCCAGAGCGCUCAGGACCUCAAAUUGGGGCGAGGUUCACCUUCUAACAGGACAACGCAUGAGUGGCUUCAGGACAAGUCUCUGAAUGUCCUUGAGGGGCCCAGCCAGAGCCCAGACUUAAACCCGAUCUAACAUCUCUGGAGAGACCUGAAAAUAGCUGUGCAGCGACGCUCCCAAUCCAACCUGACAGAGAUUGAGAGGAUUUGCAGAGAAGAAUGGGAGAAACUCCCCAAAUACAGGUGUGCCAAGCUUAUAGCAUCAAACCCAAGAAGAUUCGAGGCUGUUUGCUGCCAAAGUUGCUUCAACAAGUACUGAGUAAAGGGUUUGAAUACUUGUGUAAAUGUGAUAUUUCAGUUUAAACAUUUUAUGUUUGUGCUUUGUCAUUAUGGGUUGUUGUGUAGAUUGAUAAAGGGGAAAAAACUAUUUAAUCCAUUUUAGAAUACGGCUGUAACAUAACAAAAUGUGGAAAUAGUGAAGGGGUCUGAAUACUUUCCGAAUGCACUGUAUAUGUGUAUUCUACACACUGGCUAUUAUUCAAAUGAACUCUGCCCCCAAACAAGACCAAAUUUGGUUAGUCCGGACCAAAACUGAACCAAUCAUAGAUUGUUUCACAAGUUUUGACAUCACAGUACAGCACAGUCGAGCACAAUAGAGUACAGUACAUCACAGUAGAGUAGAGUUCAGUACAUUAUUGUACAGUACAUAAUAAUUAUUUUUAAAAAUGUAAAUAAUAUUUAACCUUUAUUUAACUAGGCAAGUCAGUUAAGAACAAAUUCAUGUUCUACAAUGACGGCCUUCCCCGGCCAAAACCACCCCUAACGACGCUGGGCCAAUUGUGCGCCGCCCUAUGGGACUCGCAAUCACUGCCGGUUGUGAUACAGCCCGGGAUCGCACUAGGAUCUGUAGUGACUCCUCUGGCACUGAGAUGCAGUGUCUUAGACCGCUGCUCCACUCGGGAGCCCUAAUGUACUCUACUAUACAGUGCUUCAUUGUAUUGUACUGUGCUGUCCAAACUUGUGUAACAUAGACGUCUAUGAUUGGUUCAGAUUUGGUCCGGUCACCUAUCAUGGAAUUCUAUAUUAGUGCCAAAUUAAGGCCGGUCUGGACUGACCCAAAAAACAAUGUCUGUGGAUGUUGAAAUCAGGGCCCGUCCAGACCGGCCUGAAAAACAAAGUCUGUGGAUGUUGAAAUUAAGGCCAGGGCAGACUCACCAAAUUUGGACUACUUUUCAACGUCCAUGGACAUCCGGUGUCAGUCGGUGCUCAGUGGGUGUGGAUGCUGGUUACAGUAAAUGGAAAGACAGGGAGCUCAUGGGUAGGUGUCAGUAAGAGCAGGGAGAGGUAACAUUAACUGGAAAUACGCAGAGGGAGGGAUGGAUUGUCCAGACUGUUUUCACACUCAAUUUGACCACCAGACGACAGAAAGAGAAGGAAAACAGUUAUGAACUGAACAUAACAGUAUGCAAGUGGAAGAGAGGACAGUAGCAGGUGACCCAACUGUGGUUUGUGACUACUAUGAUUUCCCAUUGUUGCCAUUUCAAUUGCAGUAAAUCCGUUAGUGAUUUUUAGGUAAUUCUGUAACUGAUUUGCUAACAGAACUUUGUAAUUCAUAAACCAAAAAUGAUACCAGAAAAAAAAUAUAAUUGGCAGGUCUACCUUUACUUGUUACCUCUGUGAAAUGUCAUUAUCCUCCCUCAUGGGGGAGAGAAAUUCAAAAAUACCUUUAAGAUAUGUGUGUUUUUAGUAACAGAAUUACAAGGCACAAGGCAAUGUUUCUUAAACUUAUAGAAGUCAAAUAAUUUCUCCAAAACUAAGUGUUGAUAUUAGUUGGCAGGGGUCUUUACUUCAGUAUUAUUGUGUUUUGGUGUAUUUCUAAUACCUUUUAAGACUUUUUCUGUAAGGUUUUUCUAAGACCCGUUUUCCUUCUGUUUGACCAGAUGCUUAAUUUUAUACAUGGAACAUUUUUGUGUUUUUUCCCCCAAAACAUAUCAACUCUUAGCUUUCAUUUGACACCCAAUUGGAUAUGCUCCUUUGAACAUCACAUGUUGGUGUUCAGAUGUGUUCAGAUAUGUUUCACCUGGAAAUUACCAGCAUUACUUUGCAUUAUAAAAUUAUUUGUAAAACAACAUUACCAAUCUCAAUAAAAAGAAAAGUGAACCUGUC